AACUCAAUAGUGCAAUUGGUUAGUACGCGCCCCAGGAGAGGGCGAAAUGAGGGUUCGAUUCCCGCCUGAUGUCG